AACGAACGCUGGCGGCAGGCUUAACACAUGCAAGUCGAGCGAGACCUUCGGGUCUAGCGGCGGACGGGUGAGUAACGCGUGGGAACGUGCCCUUCUCUACGGAAUAGCCCCGGGAAACUGGGAGUAAUACCGUAUACGCCCUGUGGGGGAAAGAUUUAUCGGAGAAGGAUCGGCCCGCGUUGGAUUAGGUAGUUGGUGGGGUAAUGGCCCACCAAGCCGACGAUCCAUAGCUGGUUUGAGAGGAUGAUCAGCCACACUGGGACUGAGACACGGCCCAGACUCCUACGGGAGGCAGCAGUGGGGAAUCUUAGACAAUGGGGGCAACCCUGAUCUAGCCAUGCCGCGUGAGUGAUGAAGGCCUUAGGGUUGUAAAGCUCUUUCAGCUGGGAAGAUAAUGACGGUACCAGCAGAAGAAGCCCCGGCUAACUCCGUG
rnacentral:rRNA from 1 species